GCAAGUGUAAUUUAACAAAAAUAUGGCACUGAAGAUGCCAUCAUAGAUACAUAUAAAAAUCUCACUAGCA
rnacentral:tRNA from 1 species